GACGAACGCUGGCGGCGUGCUUAACACAUGCAAGUCGAACGGAAAGGCCCUGCUUGCAGGGUGCUCGAGUGGCGAACGGGUGAGUAACACGUGGGUGAUCUGCCCCUUACUUUGGGAUAAGCCUGGGAAACUGGGUCUAAUACUGGAUAGGACCGUGCUGUAGGUGGUGUGGUGGAAAGAUUAGUUUCGGUAAGGGAUGAGCUCGCGGCCUAUCAGCUUGUUGGUGGGGUAAUGGCCUACCAAGGCGUCGACGGGUAGCCGGCCUGAGAGGGUGGACGGCCACAUUGGGACUGAGAUACGGCCCAGACUCCUACGGGAGGCAGCAGUGGGGAAUAUUGCACAAUGGGCGCAAGCCUGAUGCAGCGACGCCGCGUGGGGGAUGACGGCCUUCGGGUUGUAAACUCCUUUCAGCCAUGACGAAGCCCUUGUGGUGACGGUAGUGGUAGAAGAAGCACCGGCUAACUACGUG
rnacentral:rRNA from 1 species